CUAUGUUACCUUUAAGGAUUCGCAGGGAGUAGAGACAACAGUUCUCUUGACCGUACGUUCAUAUAUACACAUGUUAUAUGAGGAAGAGACAGCAGUUUUCUUCCGUCGAGUCCUACAAACCAAAGUAAGGCUGCUGUUAAGAAGGUUGAAGAUGCGAUAAGUACCAUGCUUGCCAAGGGUUUCAUUUUGGGAAAGGAUGCAAUAAACAAAACAAAUCUAACCUACUGAUAGUUGAGGAUGGAAACUACAAUGAAGAUUCUAUGGAGCGUGAUGAAAGGCGUCUUACAGAUUUAGGGCGCAUGAAUAAUUUCCCGUGUUUUUGCCAAGGAAUAAUUUGCCAUGGAGCAAAAAAAUCAAGUUGAAGCAGUGUUUCACAAAACGUCACUUCAUUGGAAGAGCUGAUUGGCAUCAUCGUAUGUAAAGGCAGACUAAUUAUAUAAGGUGAUGUAUUCAAAUCAGAAGAUGCCAAACUUAUUGAACCUGAGGGUGUGCCAAUCACCAUUCUUUAUCCUGGUUCCUGGGUUUAUUUAUGGACCGGGCAAAGUCACUGCAGGAAAUGCUG